GCAUUGCAUACGGCUCUAUAAUGGAAUUCGCUUUUUUUACCUUACCUUACUUACAUCGAAGAAAUAGAAAAUAAAUGAUAGGGUCUAUCAGACUCGGGUUGGUAAAUGAUCCAAUAACCAUCCUUCCUUUUGUAGUAGUUCAAAAAUACUAUAAAAAUACUAUGAUGGUUCCGUUGCUUUAUAUAUUUAUUUCAUCUGUUAUUUAGCAAUCCCAAAGUUUCUUUUUUUUUUUUUUCAAAUAAAAAACAAGAUUUAUUUUCAUAUUCUUUCAUAACCUAAAAAUUGUUAAGAUUAAGAGCCCCUGCUGUGAAAACAAAAAAGUUUGUGACGCUGAAAUAGGCCUCCCGAUAGAUUGGCUAAAAUCGAAAAUGCCUUUUUAUCUCAUACUACUCUUUCGAUACGUAAUCUAAGGUUUAAAAAAAAUUUCUCAUAUCGAAUUCGAAGUGCCAUGCUAUUAUUACUUAAUAUUCAUAUAGUGCGAAGGCAUAGUUUUCUUUUUUUCUCUCAAAUCAAAUAAAAAACUCAUUGGCGCCGAGCGUGAGGGAAUGCUAGACGUUUGGUAAUUUCCCCUCCAACAAGAAUAAAAGAUCCCAUCGAAGCGGCUAAUCCCAUGCAUAUUGUCUGUAUAUCUGGUCGCACAAAUUGCAUAGUAUCAUAAAUAGCUACUCCGGGUAUUACCCAUCCGCCAGGAGAGUUUAUAAACAAAUACAGAUCUUUGGUAUCAUCCUCUAUGCUGAGAUAUACCAUAAGACCAAUAAGUUGAUUCGAGAUCUCGCUAUCAACCCCUUGGCCUAAAAAAAGUAAUCUUUCUCGAUAAAGUCGGUUGAUUGGGAUAAAACGAUAUCCCUUAGAAACCGUACAUGCACCUUUUGAUGCAUACGUCGCACUAUACGUCAAUCCACAAUGCAUCUUCCUCUCCAGGACUUCGAAAAGGUACUCUUGGAACACCAAUAGGCAUUAAAUAAAAGAAAAAUUAAGUACUAUAUCUCACUUUGAUGUGAAAGCGUAACAGUGGGUUUAGUGGCCUAAUACUAUUGAUUUUAUUAUCCUAUUUUCUCCAUAGAUUGACUAAGUUCAUAA
rnacentral:lncRNA from 1 species